GGAUUAAACCCAGGCCUGUGAGCAUAGGCAUGUACUCUCUCUGAGCCCCAUCUCCAGCCUGAGAAUACAGUUUCCUGACUCAGAGGAACUGAGGGCUCCUCAAAAUGGCUUAUGGUUAGGCUGGGGAUGUAGUUUCAGGGGUGAAGUGUUUGUCAAGAAUACCAAAGGUGGGGGCGGGGCAGAGUGGGGUGUCAAUAUUAAUCCAGGUCAACAAAGAAAUCGUGGUGGAUUCGUACAAUGAGAUAGUACGGGUCCAGGGAGGUGGCUCACUGGGUUGUCACUUGUUGCCAAGUCUGGUGACCCAGUUUCAUCUCUGAGACUCACAUGAUAGAAUGAGAAUACUGAGUCCUAAAAGUUGUCCUAUGGCUAUCACAGCAGCAUGUGCAUACCCCUGAAACAAAUAAAUACAAUACAUCAAAUUAAUAUCUGUAUGACCCUGGCUAGGCAAGUUUUUAUUCACAAGAACACAAGAAAGUCAGGAGAAUCAAGGAAAAGACAGAUUAGAUGAUAGUAAAAUUCUGCCUUUCUUGUGGGAAGCAGGGUAAUCGAUUUUAUAGUAUUUAGGGAUGACAAGAUGUCCUAGUGGGUAAAGACACCUCCUGCUAAGGUUGACAACCCAAGUUCUAUCCUGUCCACAUGGAGGAAGGAGAGAGCCGACUCCCACAAGUCAUCCUCACCGUCCACAUUGCAUGCAUACCGUGUGUGGUGCACGUGUGCAAGUGUACACGCAUGUGCAAGAGCGGGAUUCAGAACAUGCUGCAGUUUUAUAUUCCAGAAGUGGAAGGCGUGGAGCAGGUGAUGGAUGAUGAGGAAUCAGAUGAAAAAGAAGCAAAUUCACCUUAAAUAAUCUGCAUUUUCUUUGGCCACAACCGUUGGACUUAUCUUUACUGAGCCUGUAUUACUGCUGUGUAAGUUUAUUAAUAAAAGGUUUCCUUUCUCCAGAAUGAGAUGAUAUAUAAGUAUAAAUAUAUAUAUUUAUAUUUGCUUCCCCUCGCAAAUUAUUUACACCAUCCUGAGGUGCCACCCUGAGUCACCCACCCUCUUGGGUCUUAAUCAUUUAUGCUGCCCUGAGCCUUAUCCCCACACUUUCUUUCAUGCUGGGAGAAGCAUUUUAAAAUACAUUUCCCAUUUAACCCAUUUGCUUUUUUUAUACAGAAAUAAACAGAAUAAAUGCAUUUAAAAUA
rnacentral:lncRNA from 1 species